GAUGAACGCUGGCGGCGUGCUUAACACAUGCAAGUCGAACGAUGAAGCUCAGCUUGCUGGGUGGAUUAGUGGCGAACGGGUGAGUAACACGUGAGUAACCUGCCCUUAACUCUGGGAUAAGCCUGGGAAACUAGGUCUAAUACCGGAUAGGAGCGCCUACCGCAUGGUGGGUGUUGGAAAGAUUUAUCGGUUUUGGAUGGACUCGCGGCCUAUCAGCUUGUUGGUGAGGUAAUGGCUCACCAAGGCGACGACGGGUAGCCGGCCUGAGAGGGUGACCGGCCACACUGGGACUGAGACACGGCCCAGACUCCUACGGGAGGCAGCAGUGGGGAAUAUUGCACAAUGGGCGAAAGCCUGAUGCAGCGACGCCGCGUGAGGGAUGACGGCCUUCGGGUUGUAAACCUCUUUCAGUAGGGAAGAAGCGAAAGUGACGGUACCUGCAGAAGAAGCACCGGCUAACUACGUGCCAGCAGCCGCGGUAAUACGUAGGGUGCGAGCGUUAUCCGGAAUUAUUGGGCGUAAAGAGCUCGUAGGCGGUUUGUCGCGUCUGUCGUGAAAGUCCGGGGCUUAACCCCGGAUCUGCGGUGGGUACGGGCAGACUAGAGUGCAGUAGGGGAGACUGGAAUUCCUGGUGCAGCGGUGGAAUGCGCAGAUAUCAGGAGGAACACCGAUGGCGAAGGCAGGUCUCUGGGCUGUAACUGACGCUGAGGAGCGAAAGCAUGGGGAGCGAACAGGAUUAGAUACCCUGGUAGUCCAUGCCGUAAACGUUGGGCACUAGGUGUGGGGACCAUUCCACGGUUUCCGCGCCGCAGCUAACGCAUUAAGUGCCCCGCCUGGGGAGUACGGCCGCAGGGCUAAAACUCAAAGGAAUUGACGGGGGCCCGCACAAGCGGCGGAGCAUGCGGAUUAAUUCGAUGCAACGCGAAGAACCUUACCAAGGCUUGACAUGUUCUCGAUCGCCGUAGAGAUACGGUUUCCCCUUUGGGGCGGGUUCACAGGUGGUGCAUGGUUGUCGUCAGCUCGUGUCGUGAGAUGUUGGGUUAAGUCCCGCAACGAGCGCAACCCUCGUUCCAUGUUGCCAGCACGUAAUGGUGGGGACUCAUGGGAGACUGCCGGGGUCAACUCGGAGGAAGGUGAGGACGACGUCAAAUCAUCAUGCCCCUUAUGUCUUGGGCUUCACGCAUGCUACAAUGGCCGGUACAAUGGGUUGCGAUACUGUGAGGUGGAGCUAAUCCCAAAAAGCCGGUCUCAGUUCGGAUUGGGGUCUGCAACUCGACCCCAUGAAGUCGGAGUCGCUAGUAAUCGCAGAUCAGCAACGCUGCGGUGAAUACGUUCCCGGGCCU
rnacentral:rRNA from 1 species